AGUGAACGCUGGCGGUAGGCCUAACACAUGCAAGUCGAACGGCAGCACAGUAAGAGCUUGCUCUUACGGGUGGCGAGUGGCGGACGGGUGAGGAAUACAUCGGAAUCUACUUUUUCGUGGGGGAUAACGUAGGGACACUUACGCUAAUACCGCAUACGACCUACGGGUGAAAGCAGGGGUUCUUCGCACCUUGCGCGAUUGUAUGAGCCGAAGUCGGAUUAGCUAGUUGGCGGGGUAAAGGCCCACCAAGGCGACGCUCCGUAGCUGGUCCGAGAGGAUGGACAGCCACACUGGAACCGGGACACGGUCCAAACUCCUACGGGAAGCAGGAGUGGGGAAUAUUGGAGAAAGGGCGGAAGCCUGAACCAGCCAAACCGCGUGGGUGAAGGAGGCCUUCGGGUUGUAAAGCCCUUUUGUUGGGAAAGAAAAGCAGCAGGUUAAUACCCCGCUGUUCUGACGGUACCCAAAGAAGAAGCACCGGCUAACUUCGUG
rnacentral:rRNA from 1 species